rnacentral:rRNA from 1 species
CGCGUAGGCGGUCUUAUAAGUCAGAUGUGAAAGCCCGGGGCUCAACCCCGGAAGUGCAUCUGAAACUAUGGGACUUGAGUAUGGGAGAGGGAAGUGGAAUUCCUGGUGUAGCGGUGAAAUGCGUAGAUAUCAGGAGGAACACCGGUGGCGAAGGCGACUUCCUGGACCAAUACUGACGCUGAGGCGCGAAGGCGUGGGGAGCAAACA